GAAGAGAGUAUAUGAUGGUAUAUAUGUGGCUGAAUGGUCCUUGUUGCUUUGCAUGCAAGCCUUGAUUUCAAGAACAAGCUGAUGAAAAGGCAGAGCACUCGACAAUGAUAUGCUCCAUCUACUAGUUGUUUUUGGUACUGGGAAAAACGACCCUUCAACUACGAAAUCAGGUGGUGUGACUGCUGAAAGACUUAUGUUGCAGAUGUUGUAGAUGUGGAGAUUUGGUCAACAAGAUUCAUAGGUCCACCCAACUCAAGUUCAUUAGAAGACAGAGAGGGCAAGUUGAAUCUUAAAGCUCAAGUUAUCGUCUGCUGUGGUUGCUGCAAUUAUGGUGGGACCGAAUUGAAUGCUCAUUGUUGAGCUCAUCAUGUAAAAUUAUGAGAAGAGCAGGGUUUUCUUUCUUAUGCUAACCUCAAAUAUCUCUGGAAAGAAAGUAUAGUCGUGACAGAGAAGCUGGCGGCUACCUGUAGAUUUCAAGAGAAGCCUCGAGCAACAUGCUUACUCGAGUUCCUUUGAUCGAAUCAAAUGCACAGGUCCUACUCUAUUUGUUCCGUCACAAGUUUGUCUAUUCCAAAACUUGUUCUUUUCAUCUACAUAAGAACCUUUCAGCUUUAACGUAGUCAAAGUAUUAUCCUACUGUAA